CUUCAUUCUCAGGGCAGGGUGGAAUUCCCUACCGGUGGUAUAGCCCACGAGCGUUUAUAAAGUGCGGUCAAGAAUGCCGUUACUUUGUGAAGUCAGCAGAUUUGGUGAGAUUCCAAAGCCGACAGUAAUAGUCUGGAUGGAAGAGAAUAAAC
rnacentral:ncRNA from 1 species